rnacentral:siRNA from 1 species
UGCGCAGGCUUGCCGCCCUUG